GAUGAACGCUGGCGGCGUGCCUAAUACAUGCAAGUCGAGCGAACAGACGAGGAGCUUGCUCCUCUGACGUUAGCGGCGGACGGGUGAGUAACACGUGGAUAACCUACCUAUAAGACUGGGAUAACUUCGGGAAACCGGAGCUAAUACCGGAUAAUAUAUUGAACCGCAUGGUUCAAUAGUGAAAGACGGUUUUGCUGUCACUUAUAGAUGGAUCCGCGCCGCAUUAGCUAGUUGGUAAGGUAACGGCUUACCAAGGCAACGAUGCGUAGCCGACCUGAGAGGGUGAUCGGCCACACUGGAACUGAGACACGGUCCAGACUCCUACGGGAGUCAGCAGUAGGGAAUCUUCCGCAAUGGGCGAAAGCUUGACGGAGCAACGCCGCGUGAGUGAUGAAGGUCUUCGGAUCGUAAAACUCUGUUAUUAGGGAAGAACAAAUGUGUAAGUAACUAUGCACGUCUUGACGGUACCUAAUCAGAAAGCCACGGCUAACUACGUG
rnacentral:rRNA from 1 species